rnacentral:rRNA from 1 species
CCUACGGGUGGCAGCAGUCGAGAAUUAUUCACAAUGGGGGAAACCCUGAUGGUGCGACGCCGCGUGGGGGAAUGAAGGUCUUCGGAUUGUAAACCCCUGUCAUGUGGGAGCAAAUUAAAAAGAUAGUACCACAAGAGGAAGAGACGGCUAACUCUGUGCCAGCAGCCGCGGUAAUACAGAGGUCUCAAGCGUUGUUCGGAAUCACUGGGCGUAAGGCGUGCGUAGGCUGUUUCGUAGGUCGUGUGUGAAAGGCGCGGGCUCAACCCGCGGACGGCACAUGAUACUGCGAGACUAGAGUAAUGGAGGGGGAACCGGAAUUCUCGGUGUAGCAGUGAAAUGCGUAGAUAUCGAGAGGAACACUCGUGGCGAAGGCGGGUUCCUGGACAUUAACUGACGCUGAGGCACGAAGGCCAGGGGAGCGAAAGGGAUCAGAUACCCGAGUAGUC